GUGGUUAUGUCAGAAUGAUAUGAGUUAGCUUUAAGCGUUAAUUAUGGGUGUUACCCUAACCAUU
rnacentral:tRNA from 1 species